GAUGAACGCUGGCGGCGUGCCUAAUACAUGCAAGUCGAGCGAACAGACGAGGAGCUUGCUCCUUCGACGUUAGCGGCGGACGGGUGAGUAACACGUAGGUAACCUACCUAUAAGACUGGGAUAACUUCGGGAAACCGGAGCUAAUACCGGAUAAUAUUUCGAACCGCAUGGUUCGAUAGUGAAAGAUGGCUUUGCUAUCACUUAUAGAUGGACCUGCGCCGUAUUAGCUAGUUGGUAAGGUAACGGCUUACCAAGGCAACGAUACGUAGCUGACCUGAGAGGGUGAUCGGCCACACUGGAACUGAGACACGGUCCAGACUCCUACGGGAGGCAGCAGUAGGGAAUCUUCCGCAAUGGGCGAAAGCCUGACGGAGCAACGCCGCGUGAGUGAUGAAGGUCUUCGGAUCGUAAAACUCUGUUAUUAGGGAAGAACAAACGUGUAAGUAACUGUGCACGUCUUGACGGUACCCAAUCAGAAAGCCACGGCUAACUACGUG
rnacentral:rRNA from 1 species